UCUAAAUUCACACUAGUGUGAGGCAGCCGG
rnacentral:piRNA from 1 species